rnacentral:rRNA from 1 species
UGGGGAAUCUUCCGCAAUGGACGAAAGUCUGACGGAGCAACGCCGCGUGUAUGACGAAGGCCUUCGGGUUGUAAAGUACUGUCUUUGGGGACGAACGGUAUCUAUGUAAAUAAUGCAGAUACAUGACGGUACCCAAGGAGGAAGCCCCGGCUAACUACGUGCCAGCAGCCGCGGUAAUACGUAGGGGGCGAGCGUUGUCCGGAAUCAUUGGGCGUAAAGGGCGCGUAGGCGGGUCAUUAAGUCUGGUGUGAAAGGGCAGGGGCUCAACCCCUGGAAGGCACCGGAACUGGUUAUCUUGAGGACAGGAGAGGAAAGCGGAAUUCCACGUGUAGCGGUGAAAUGCGUAGAUAUGUGGAGGAACACCAGUGGCGAAGGCGGCUUUCUGGACUGUAACUGACGCUGAGGCGCGAAA